AGCGUUAUUCCCAUUGGUUGAUUUAGUUUCCUCCCCUCUUUAUUUGCCUACGUCACCGUCAGAGUUACGAUCACGACAACUAUAACCUCAGCUGCAGUUUGGAAGAAGGAACUUUUCAUAUUUCAAAGAACUUGGUCUCUCUGGUCCUAAACCUGUUUCUCAUUUAGGAAACCUGGUACAAAUAAAAAAACUGGGUUUUAAUAAUGUAUUCAAAUACUGGAGAGAAAUCUAUGGUGAUGUAUAUGGUAUUUACUUUGGAGUAGUUCCUAAUUGUAUUGUAAGUGAUCCAGAAUUUGUUCAAGAAGUUUUAGUGAAAAGAUUUUCAAACUUUGUCAAUCG